AGAAAAAUUGCCCUACAAAGUACGCGUUUGGCUUGAACCAAGGUUUCCGUCUAGCAUCAUCCUUGUAGCUUCCAGUCCACACUGAAAAUAGCACUUAUGCAAGAUGAUGUUCUUUAUACAGUGCCUGCACAUAUUUCUCUGCAUUACCCAUACAGAGGGAUUUACAGGUGUGUGAGAUUCAUUACUAACAGCUGUAGCAUCAAGUCUCUCCACUGAAAGGACAGGACUCCUAACUUAAGUAGAAGACUAAUUAUGCUGAAGAACUACUUUAGGUGAAGUAACACAGGUGCUGUACAAAGCCAUGAGGAGCCAGGAGCCUAGAGUGGGUAGGGAGAAGAUGGGGCAAGAGCUGAUGUCCCUUACUCUAUCUCAAAAAUAGAACAGCCUCAGGAGCACUAAAACCAAUGAUCAAAUCAUAGCUGUGAUCUUAAUCUCCUUAAAUGUAGUGCUCCUCUCAGACAGCUUGAGUAGGUGACAGUUAACCCCAAAUAAGGGUUGUCUAUUUCUUGCUCUCAAAUGUCUAAAAAGUUAAAGCGUUGUAUUUCUUCAUUCUGCUGGCUCUUGGCAACUUCUUCCUGCAGUCACAAAACCCUUGAAAGUGAGGAACUCACAUCAGAGUUGUAUGCCUCCACUGCAACCAGCUCUUGUAAGUCUCCUUGAACUUUCUGGUUUCACAGACAAUUUGCUCUAAAAUUUUCACAUGCAAGUACAUGAUAUGAAGGUAAAUUAAGUAAUACUAAAAUUAGAAAAUUGAGAUUCAAAAAACUUUUAGAGAUUUUUUUUAACCAAGUAAGUCCUUUUUCUUAAAGAUACUAAGGCCAGGAAAUUACCUACCUAAUUGUUUCUGUGGGGGUGUUAAAGUGCUAAAUUGGCCAUACCUUUUUUUUGCAAGGAAAUUAAUUACUAAAAUCAUAUUGUACCACAGAUUCCAAACUGCCAGAAGCACGAGAUAGGAAGCAAUUUAGCAAUGGAGCAAUCACCUUGGACCUGUAAAUCCUUUUUCCUGUUAAGACCUCCACAUCAGUAUUGGACUUGCAUAUCAAAACUUUAUUUAUCCAGUCCCACGUAUGGAAUCCUUUUGGGUGCAUUUUUAAAAAUUUCCCACCACUUGCAAUUUCCUGCUUCCCCUUUCUUGUGUUUGUAUUCUCUAGUAGUUCACUCUCCCACAUAGUGAAGGUCAUUGUCUCACAACAUAAAGAUAUAGACAGCUGGCUUUAAAGUAACGUACAUCUGACUCCAUGAGGCUUGUAUCAACAAGCUCUGCUAUUAAAAGAGUAGUAGUCCCAGAUUUACUCGUGCCCCUUUUGAAGGGAGAUUAAAAAAGAAGUCACCUUCUGCUUAAAAAAUGCACGUUUUCGUAUGCCAGAUGUUUCCUUUUUUUGCUACCUCCCUCACAAAAUACACCCAUCCCAAACACGACACUUGCCUUUGCUGAGGACUGCAUAGGUAUAACAUGCUAAUAGACUCCUUCUCUUUCCUGCUCUGCAAAAGCUGACACUUAUCUGUCUCCUUAAAUGCCUUCUAACAAAACUACUUUCUCCUUGGAAUCAGUGAAGAACUUGAGCCAAAACUCAUAGUCCCAUUCUGAAAUCAGCAAGGAAAAUGCCUCGACAAAGCCAACUGGUGCAAGUUCUCACAGGGACUUUCAGGUAGAAAGGAAUUUAUUUGCUGAGAGUACCACUCAUAGGAAGAAAGCCCCACUAUGCCAGUACUUGGAUUCUCCAUUCAGGACUUCUGUCCUUCCUCCCCUUAGCCCAGCGGUGGUGCUCAGCCCCUCUUCCGUGGUAAGACAGAUACCAUAGAAUCAUUAAGACUGGAAAAGACCUCUAAGAUCAUCUAGUCCAACCCUCCACCUACCACUAAUGUUUCCCUACGAAACCAUGUCCCACACAGUUCUUGAAUACCUUGAGGUAUGGUGACUUCACCGCCUCCCUGGGCAGCCUGUUCCAAUGCAUCACCACUCCUUCUGAGAAAUUUUUCCUAAUCUCCAACCUGAACCUCCACUGGCACACUUAAAGCUGUUACCUCUCACUACCUAGGAGAGGAGGCUGACCCCCACCUCACCACAACUUCCUUUCAGGUCACUGUAGAGAGCAAUGAAGUCUCCCUUGAGUCCUCUUCUCCGGACUUGAACAACCUCAGUUCCCUCAGCUGCUCCCCAUAAGACUUGUGCUCCAGACCCCUCACAGCUUUGUUGCCCUUCUCUGGGGGCACUCCAGCACUCACAGGCUUUCUUCAGGUCAUCACAUGCUCUCUCCCUCAGUAGCUUGUAUCCACUGGGAGGUUUUUCAGAUGCUUCUAGUCAGAUGGUAAGUAAGCAGGUACCCACACACUAAACAAUCUCUAGAUCCCUCCCAGCUACCAGAAAAAGAGAUAUUUUAGCCUUAAAUUGAACAAGCUCACUUUAAGUAUCUUUUUGUGAUUUUAAAAUAAUAAAACAGAUUAAUAGCCUUGCUACUUGACAUUUUAUGGCCUUCUGUUUGCACAAUAUGCAUUUACAAUUUGUUAGAUUGCCUUCUUGAGAAAGCGCAUGUGUCAAAGUACAUUUUGAGAAGGUGAUGGGAGGUGCAGACCUGUCUCCCUGCAUUUGUGUUGGUGAGGAAAUUAUUACCAUGGGAGGAGGUUUUUCCUCUCAGUUGUUACCAACUGCUGUGCUUUAAAUAUGCAAAUUGUCUGGUAGCUUUUGGGGUGUCCCUGAGUUUGAGAACUAAGGGAGCACUGCAGCACUGCAUAGCAGCAGUGGCUGUGCAGGGUUGUCGCAACUGUUUCAAUGCUCACAUAAGAACAUGGUAGAAAACCACCUUGUAUUCAGUCUAAGCUAUGUGACUGUCUCCAAGACAACUGCAAGAGAAGAUGAACAUUUGUGCCAAUGACUGGUGUUUAUAGUCCAUAAGAAUUCAAGGUGAGAAAUGUGCUAAACUGCUGAGAGACUUCAAAGACUUAGCAACCACCAUCAUGUUACCUGCAAAACACUGUCAGCAUGUUAUUCCUUCCUAUCCAUUUACUGUCAGUUCUGUCAUUCAGGGAUUUGCUUGCUUAAAAAAAACAUAGCUUGACAGAAGAAGUACUGCCUGGAGACUACUGAGCAGAAACCUUGUGUAAAUCCCUGGAAGCAGAAGCAAGAAUUUAUCCUUGUGAAAAUUCAGAGUAGCUGGCACCAAACUCAAUCUUCAAGCUACCUUUAUCCCAGCUUUGUUGGCUUUUUAGAACACAAGGAAUAGAAAUAGAGAAAAAUGCUGCAUGUCUGAACUAGUGUAAUUGCUCACUCCUAUAUGUAAUGUAACAUUGACUACUAUAAAAGAAGAAACAUUGAACAGAAUUUAAUGGAUUGAAACAGAGCUAUCCCCAGAACUCCAUGAAAUCCAUACGCUGUGCCUGUGUGCCCUGAGCUCAUAGUCUCUGAAUAGCUUGUUAGAAUAUCAUGGGGAUAAAUGGUUUGUUCCAAAAUACAUCAGUGUGGUUUUGUAAAUAAAUUCUCUCCGUUUCAAAUUACAAUGACAAUUAGUUCUCUUUCUGGUAGAAAAAUAUUUUCAAUAACCACCUGCUUCUUUCUAGGCUAGUUGUUUUUCCAGCAAGCCACAGCAACAAAGGCAAUAGGUCUUCUUCAGAGAAUUCAUUGAGGAAAGCCAGCACAUCUGAAGAAGACAUGCUCGUGAUUGUAAUUUGGUGCCUGUAAUCUAAGUCUGUGUUUUCCCUAGGCUCACUUGUCCUAUGAAAUGCCUUGAAUUUGAACUCAAGAAUCCUUUUCAUAAGGAAUUAUCAUUCCGACAGCUUGCAUUCAGUCUUUAGAAAUGUAGCACUUUGCAGUCAGACCAAAUGUUAAACAUCACUGAAGGGCUUUCACAAAAAAAAAAAAAAAAAAAAGUGGAAUUACAUUCAGACAAAAGGGAGGGUGAUGUUAAUGCAUUGCCUGCAAUAUUAAUUGCAGGAAGUAAAAGAAAGCUCAUAUCGUGAGGUAUCAGUUCAUAACUCAUCCCUGAAGUCUUGCUUGUGGAGCACAGAGACAGGAAGAGUUACAAGGAGUGCCCUAGGAAAUGCAGUUAAUGCACUUAAAAAUGUGCAGCAUGUACAAUAACUAUGCACUUAGAUUGUUAUAAUAGUAAAUAAAAUAGUAAAGUAGUAAAUUUUGGAAAUGAUCACUCCAGCUGGAGCUGGACUGAGAUGGUGCUCUUCUCAGGCACCCAGGACAAAAAAACAGGAUCAGAGGAAGGCUGAGAAGAAAGGAGGGACAGAAAGAAAAGGGAAGGAAUACAGACUGGCACUCUAACUUAGCUCUUUGGAAGCAUAUUCAUUCUUUGUUUGCCUUACUGUAAGGGUCAAAAGUUUAUUGAAAAAUAAGGCCAUCCUGGAGUUCCUAAGCAUGCAUUCAUGUGACAGUCCAGAAGUGUAUCCAAGGACUGUCUCGCAGUGGAGGAUGUGGUAAGCCCAGCAUGAAUGACCUGUUGAACUUCGGGUGUUUCAGAAAGCUUUCGAGUGUACUUAUUUUCGUAUGUUUGCUGGUAGAAAGACUGGAAAAAAAAAAUCUUUGCUCUGAGGAGUGAAAGUUUUUGUUUUUUCCUCCCCCCUCCCCCCCCCUUUUUU